rnacentral:misc_RNA from 1 species
AAGACUAUAGACCUGCGGAGUACCUGCGGAGGGAUCAUUAAUGAGUUAGGGUCUCCUAGGCCCGACCUCCCAACCCUUUGUUUACCGAACCUCUGUUGCUUCGGCGGACCCGUCUCACGACCGUCGGAGGAUUGCUGAAAGGCAUCCUCUAGCCAGCGUCCGCCGAUGGCCAAUCAUUUAAAAUUCUGAAUGAAUCGUGUCUUAUGUCUAAGUCUAUAAUUAAAUUAAAAGCAAAAACUU